ACGGAAGGCAGCAGUGAGGAAUAUUGGUCAAUGGACGGAAGUCUGAACCAGCCAAGUCGCGUGAAGGAUGAGGGUAUUAUGUAUUGUAAACUUCUUUAGCAGUGGAGUAAUAAGGGGAUCGCGAUCCCUGAUGCAAGUACACUGAGAAUAAGGAUCGGCUAACUCCGUGCCAGCAGCCGCGGUAAUACGGAGGAUCCGAGCGUUAUCCGGAUUUAUUGGGUUUAAAGGGUGCGCAGGCGGCUUUUUAAGUCAGUGGUUAAAUCGUGACGCUCAACGUCAUCACGCCAUUGAUACUGGAGAGCUUGAGUGCGGUCGAGGUUUGCGGAAUUCGUGGUGUAGCGGUGAAAUGCAUAGAUAUGACGAAGAACACCGAUUGCGUAGGCAGCAGACCAGGCCGUAAAUGACGCUCAUGCACGAAAGUGCGGGGAUCGAACAGGAUUAGAUACCCUGGUA
rnacentral:rRNA from 1 species